rnacentral:rRNA from 1 species
UACAGAGGGGGCAAGCGUUGUUCGGAAUUACUGGGCGUAAAGGGCGCGUAGGCGGCCUGUUAAGUCGAACGUGAAAUCCCCGGGCUCAACCCGGGAACUGCGUCCGAAACUGGCAGGCUUGAAUCCGGGAGAGGGAUGUGGAAUUCCAGGUGUAGCGGUGAAAUGCGUAGAUAUCUGGAGGAACACCGGUGGCGAAGGCGGCCUUCUGGACAGUGACUGACGCUGAGACGCGAAAGCGUGGGGAGCAAACAGG